UCAUAAUCUAGAAUCACCUUGUCAAAUUUCUCAUGCCAUUGCUUAGGAGCUUGCUUUAAGCCAUAUAAAGAUUUAACCAACUUGCACACCUUGUGUUCUUGGCCCUUAACUAUGAAUCCUUCGGGUUGCUCCAUAUAGAUCUCUUCAUCUAAGUCUCCAUUUAGAAACGCUGUCUUCACAUCCAUUUGAUGAAUCACUAAAUUAUGCACAGAUGCUAAAGCUAUCAAGGUCCUUAUGGUGGUAAUCCUAGAAACAGAAUGGUGCAUCCACAGACAUAACGGCUUCCUUAUAAGUUGUGGGAUCUCCUUCUACUAGAAAGGAACAUGUCGCACAUCCUUGAGAGUUAGAGUCUUCCCAGAUGUCAUCUUCAAUUCCACUUCUCCUAUUCCACGUACUUGUGCGACGGUGUCAUUUCCUAGGGUUACACUUCCUCCACUUGAGUUCUGGUAAUUUUUGAAAAACCGUUUGUCAAAACACACAUGUACGUUUGCCCCAGAAUCUAACCACCAAUCACUAUUACUUAAAUAUGCGACA